ACCUUGGUAGCUUAGUCAGUCAAGCAUGAGACUCUUGAUUUCAGGGUUGUGGGUUCCAGCCCCAGGUUGGGCA